rnacentral:rRNA from 1 species
GUCUACAGCCUUACCACCCUGAACGUGCCCGAUCUUGUCUGAUCUUGGAAGCUAAGCAGGGUCGGACCUGGUUAGUACUUGGAUGGGAAACCCUGGCUCUUACACCUUGCAGUACUUAGUGCUGUGCUCC